GUUUCCCGCCCUUAUCACCUGAGGGAAAAGAGCAGUGUGAAGAGAAGGGCUGCUGCCGUUUUGAGGUUCUCCUGAGUCUUCAGUUGAUCUAUAACCGAUAGCAAAGUUCAUUCAGAAAAGAGUUAAGCAUCACUGCUGACAGCUCAGUAAAAGCUCCAGAGUUUUACAAGGAUGACAUGGAUGUAGUGGAGAGUCCAGCAAAGGACCAUGAAGAUGAUGAAGGAUCCGAAACUUCUCUCUUAAGAGGAAGAAAUCACGCUGCACAGCGCUUCCAAGUAUGAACAAAUCUAAAUGAAGACAGCUGGCAGAGGCUCUCGUCAUCUAACUCCUUCCAGAUGUGUACUUAAAUGCUGCAGUUCUUGACUGGUGACACCUCUGAUCUUGAUUGAUUGGUGUUCUGCCAUUGGGUCAGCUGCUGUUAAUCCUGUAUUUAUAUUUACCCGAUACAUCUCUCAUUCCAUUUUCUGGAAUUCCCCUGCUCUGAUGGCCGCAUCGCAGAACAUUUAGCUUUCAUUUAUGUGCAGAAGAAACUAAACUCAUUUGAAUUUUGCUGCUUCUUAAGCUCAAAGUUUCCCCUGCCCCUUUUUUUUCCCAACAUUUUUAACAGGGAUCAAAGGAUGUUUUUACUCUUGCAUGAAGCUGUUUCUUUAAAGCCUGUGUUACAAGUGAUCUGGUGAGGCUGUGCACUGAUGCUGAGCCCUCUGAGAGCUCCUGUGGCUAGCACGGAUUAAAGGAACUAGGUCAAAUUUCUAAACUAUAGCAUACAUCUUUCUGCUGUUCCAGCUGGACUAUCUAUAAAAGCUGGAAAAGAAAAUCAGAGUCCUGGAAAGAGGUUUUGCUGGAUGUGCACUUCCCAGAACUCCCCCGAAAAGCAAUCCAACUGUGCAGGCUGCAGCGGAGGAUCUUCAAAAGGUUUUUCCUAAAUCAACCCAGCCGGCUGAAAUCCACCGGGAAAACUUUUGAGAAUAUUGCUUGCAAGAUGGAUGGAUAAUGCAAAAAGCACGAAAACAAUACGGAAGAAAAGACAUUUUUCUACAUGGUGCCACUCCCAGCAUUAUUUUAUGUGAACCAAAGCAUAAAUAAACGUGUUUCUCCUUCAGCCUUAAGUGCAGGUAGAAGGACAUCACUGCAAAACAGUGUUCCCUGGCAUAGGACAGAAAACUGCUCUCAUGCAUACAGCAGCGCUGCAGAAUGGCUUGGAGUAAGCAAGGAGAAGAGGCUCCCCACCCAUUCAAUCUCCUUCAGGGGAAGAAAGAGGCAGAGCACGGCAUGCUGCCGUCCUUGGUGGGAAAUGUGAGUGCCAUUUCCAUCCACCGGGCAGAGGGACUGCGCUAUUGAACUUUUUUCAUCUGUAGCUUCUAUGAAACACUGCUGGCCAGCCUGGAACUUGGCCAAAACAACAUCCUGGUUCCUCAGCAAGUGCUGUGGGAUCAGACCACAUGUGACGAGGACCCCAGCUCCGUGUUGCAUUGGGAAGAGAUGGCCGUCGUGACCCCUGCUGUGCCCUGGGAAAGUCAUUUGGCUGUGGCUCACAGGAAGGAGAAGGUUUGCUUUCUCCAGAUCCAGGAUUUCCUCUUAGGCCUUCUUUAUGUGCUGCAUCACAUCUUACCCCACUCUCACAUGCUGGGGCCAACAAUCACCCAGGCUACUAGCCCUCCUGUGCUGACCCUGGGGCUGCACUCUGGCUGCCUGGUCUGGAGGGGGCCCCUACUUCUGACCCAAAGGUGCCCAUAGGACCAGGCAGCCUGGGCAUGGGACAAGCAGGCUUCCCAGCGUGGGAAAUUUCUAAAGAAGCAGUCUGUAAACCACAUUUUCAUCUAACUGGUCUAAAUAUAUUUCAGUUUCAAAACACACACUUAAAAAUAACUUACAGAAAUAUUUAUACGGACACUGAAAGGAACUUUCCAGCUUUAGGGAUUCAGCAAAGCCCACAACUGCCUUCCUGUGCAGUCACUCCUAGCCUGUUGUUGAGCCUCUUGUUUUGAAAGCGUUGGAGUCUCUUUCUCCUCCAGUUAUCUCGCCUCACUCCACCCUGACACAUGAACUCACAGGGCUUUGCAUUCAGCAACGUCAGGACUGAUAUCGCACGGCAGCUUUUCCCACAGCUGCAAUCAUAACUCCUUCAACAGCACAAUUUUUCUUGCAGGCUAAAAGGGAAAAGUUUGGCUUGUGUAGGAGAAUUCAGCCCCAGGGAUGGGGCAUUACACAUCUUUAGGAGCUCCCUUUCUCAUUUCUUCACUCCAUGCCGAUUCAUUCAUCUGGCUGUCUCAGCUCCUGUGGGGCUUAGGGCAGAUCUCAGCCCUUGGAAGAUGUAUGUCAGCAUUGUAUUGUGGGGCAAAAGAUCAGAGCUUGAAUCUUUUGGGUGCCGUGGCAAUAAAAAAAGCAAUGGUAAAGGUAAAUGUGUAGCUUUCUGUUGUGAUUUUCACCAUCAUCAGUUCCUUUUUAUGACUGGUUUUUGCUGGGACAAUGUCAGCUAUCAGAGGGUCAGGAGGUGUACCAGCCACUUCCUCUCUUCUACACAGGCAGUCCCCUUUGAUAAAGAAAGGCUGGGCUCUUGCUAAAGCAUCACGGUACGAUUGAGUACACCAGCCAAUACACUAUGUUAUAUGGGAGAGAAGCAGUCUGACAUGUCGAGACAAAGGUUGGCUGAUAAGGAUGCAUUGUGUCAUGUGCCAGUGUGCCUCAGCUUUUCCAAAGAUAUCUCUGUAACCCAGGAAUGCCUUCUAGGAGGCUGGAAAUGUCUGUAUUUCAUGUCACUAGAUUUUAUUCUUAAAUCAUGACACAGUGUUUGUUCAGUACAUAUUGCAGCAGUGGUGAGAAUCUUUCCCUUGUUUAGCAGGAACAAACAGCCCAGAAGAAGGUGUGCUCACUGGGAUGAAGGCUAUUUGGAUUACAAAAAAGGUCAAAUGAGUGCAAACCCCAUUGAAGCUGUAUAAGCCACUCUGUCUGGCUCAGUGCUGCAGGAGGGACUGUGCUGGAGACACGAAACUGCUGGAGAAGCUCUGUUUGCAAGAUGCAUUUGUGCUGCUGGAGAGGCAGUAGCUUGCACAGGAAAGACACAAACACUCCAUCAAAACUAGUUCUGUGAUGCCUUUUAUGGGAGCAAUUUGUGACACUUUAAUAUAUCACUACCAAUGAGUCUGUGGUUUUGAUUUUCCAAGUAAGAUUCAGAACCCAACUGGCUUGCUAAUGAUUUUGUCUCUCUCUCUACCCCUGUAUUUCUUUAUGGACGAAGAGCGCUAUGUGGGUGAGAGUGUCUUAGUGUUUUUCAUCAAACUUCAAUCUAUCAUUUCAUACAAGCUGUGGUAACAGACUCUAGGCCACCAAUUAAAUGCAACUAGCUCCAAAAUGUCACACAACAUCUAUUUAAAACAGGCCAAACUCCAGGCUUGGAUUAAGACCCGGGCAUUCAUAAAAACACAGGAUUAAACUGAAAGCUCCAAUUUCCUUUAAAAAAGAAACUUUUCUGCUCUCUCACUGCACAGAAAAGAUCAAAUCCCAGAGCUAAACAGAAGUGAUACGGCAGCUUCUUCUGAAGGCUCCAAAGUUGGAGGGUGCAGCACAGUGCUUCAUCUGGCAGCUGUGAUGUCCAUUUGCUCUGCCUCCUGCACUGAGAUUUUCCAUGCCUUUGAUUUUGCUACUCCUGUUGUUUGUGAGUUGAUGUGUUACAAAGGCACACAGAUUUUUGUUUCAGAAGAAUGUUUUUUUUUAAACUCAAAGGAUGUUCUUUUUUAAACCAAAUCUAUUUCUGUGAAUGAGAUCUUUCUGUGCUCAUGCACCGAGAUCAUAGCAGAUAACUUGGUACUUGGAGCGUAGUGGUACCAAAAGCCUUGGGUGCCCUAACUUUUCCCUGUAAAUACUACUGGAAAUAAAUAAGUGGAACAGCUGCAUUACAUUUACAUCUAGAAUGAGACUGAAGCCUGUACCAGGGACAGAGAACCUUGGAAUCUGCAGUAUGGGAGCUGCUGGGAGCUCUGCAGCAAGGGAACCAGCUUCCCACUAUGCUCUGGCGAGAUCUGGCCAACCAGCACACCAAUUUCAGACCAAGCCAGUAGAGGUCACAGUAGGUCCAACGAAUUCCCCACGCCCUCCUCCCAGCCAAGCCUACCCUCACAUCUCAAACAAUUCACCUCUGACUGUUAUUAAACCCUCUUCCAACUCAACAACCUAAGCAGUCCUAUGCAGACAGUCUUUUCUGGAGGGAAAAAUCAGAUGCUGGUAAGUUGAGCAGUGGACUGUCUGUGCCUACUUUCCCCACUCUGUGCUCCCACUACAGCUAGAGUGUGGUACCUUGGAGGUGAAAUCUGUCAUGUGGGUGUGGACAUUUUUUCUUCAUAUCAUUCCACAGAGGGAAAACACCAGACCUGCCAGAUUGUCAGGGUCCCUUAUCUUCGCAGACCUCUCACCUUCAUCCAACCUGUGCCAAGUUCAUGCCAGCCUAGAUGACAUUCGCACUGCUGAAAGUCCCCAAGGUGAUUGGGUCUAUAUAGGACAGAAGAUCAUACCUUCCCAUGCUGCAUCGUCUGCAGGGCAGCAAAUGCUCUAGGACAAUCACUUGAACAUCUUCAUCUUCUAAUGAAUGAACAUCAUCAUCUUAUAAUGGAUCCUUGAUGUCCUAGGCUCCCCUGGGGUCUUUCACAAGAGUUGGGACGUGCUCAAGGAGGAACAGGCACUGCAGAGGGAAGCAGGCUUACAGUCAGCUAGUCUAUUUCCCUGCACAGCUACAGCUCUGUGAGGAAACUUCAGGCGCCACAAAUACAAGACCAAAUUUGAAGUUCUUUGUACGGGGAUUCUGGGAAUUACCUUCCUUUCCUUUCCUUUCCUUUCCUUUCCUUUCC